AUGAGAUAUUUGUGGCUUCCCCUUUCGGUUUCAAGGCUUAAGAGGAUUCACUUUCAGUUCUUAGAAGAUAAAGUUGCGGGGAAACUACCACCUUGGGUUGCCAAACAUGUGGCCGUGCCAGGCCGGGUUGUCUUGGUCAAGGCAGUGCUUACCGCCAUUGUUAUAUAUCAUAUCACGCCCCUGGAAUUGCCGGUGGAAGUGAGGAAGAAGAUUGAUAGCUUGCGGCGUGCCUAUCUUUGGGCGGGUUGCGAUAAAGUGACCGGCGGAAAAUGUAAGGUCAACUGGGAUCUCGUCUGCAAG
rnacentral:rRNA from 1 species